rnacentral:rRNA from 1 species
GACGAACGCUGGCGGCGUGCUUAACACAUGCAAGUCGAACGGAAAGGCCCUGCUUGCAGGGUGCUCGAGUGGCGAACGGGUGAGUAACACGUGGGUGAUCUGCCCCUUACUUUGGGAUAAGCCUGGGAAACUGGGUCUAAUACUGGAUAGGACCAUGCUGAAGGUGGUGUGGUGGAAAGAUUAGUUUCGGUAAGGGAUGAGCUCGCGGCCUAUCAGCUUGUUGGUGGGGUAAUGGCCUACCAAGGCGUCGACGGGUAGCCGGCCUGAGAGGGUGGACGGCCACAUUGGGACUGAGAUACGGCCCAGACUCCUACGGGAGGAAGCAGUGGGGAGUAUUGCACAAUGGGAGCAAGCCUGAUGCGGCGACGACGCGUGGGGGAUGACGGACUUCGGGUUGUAAACUCCUUUCAGCCAUGACGAAGCCCUUGUGGUGACGGUAGUGGUAGAAGAAGCACCGGCUAACUACGUG